rnacentral:rRNA from 1 species
UGAGCAACCUGCCCUUGGCUUUGGGAUAACCCUCGGAAACGGGGGCUAAUACCGAAUGUUCACUGCUGGACGCAUGUUUGGUGGUGGAAAGUUUCUCGGCUGGGGAUGGGCUCGCGGCCUAUCAGUUUGUUGGUGGGGUAACGGCCCACCAAGGCGACGACGGGUAGCCGGCCUGAGAGGGCGACCGGCCGCACUGGGACUGAGACACGGCCCAGACUCCUACGGGAGGCA